CCCCCAUACCUUCCUUCAAAAUCAAAAUCAAAAUCCAUAAAUCCAUGCGGGUUUGUGAUUCAUUUCUUUGAUUUCAUACCCAUCAUCACAAAUCUCAUAACCAUACACUUGGGGGGUUGUAGAUUCAAGAAACCAUGAAUGCAAAUGUUUGGAAGAGAAGAUCUAAAGACAUCUCGGCCAAUGAUGAUGAUGAUUCAAAACACAGACACAAAUCCCAUCUUCUUGGUUCGAACAAGAAGAGAAACAAGAACAAGAACAAGAACAAGAACAGGAGGAUUGUGGAUCAGAAGACCCCAACAGAGUACCCAUUAUUGAGAUUUGAAGAAUUACCAGAAUACAUGAAGGAUAACGAGUUUAUUUUGAAUUAUUACAGAGCUGAUUGACCUUUGAAACAAGCCCUUUUUAGCCUAUUUCGUUGGCACAAUGAAACCCUAAAUGUAUGGACGUUCAAUCGUUCUGCUCUGCCAACGAAUCUUGGAGGCUCGUUGAUUCCAUUUUGCAAUGAUGUUCCGACUAUUGCAGUCCUGAAAGGACUCCUUUGAGCACGUAGAAGUAAGUACCGUUUGUUAUGAACUGGACCGAUUAAACAAUGGAAGUAAUAUCCAGGAGAUAAGAACAAGUGGCUGAUGAUUCAAUUAACAACAAAAAGGAACAGUUUCUCCUAAACAGAACUCUGGAUAAUUUUCUGGAUGAUCCUUCACUCUCACUAACUCCCUAUUUAUUCACAGCCGUAACAGAUUACUCCUACUAUUGGGCCAGUGCAUAACACAUUUCUUGAUGCUUAUGAAUAAAUUUUGCUUGAUCAAAUCACAAAAUACUGUUUCUAGGAGUUGUCGAUUGAAUGCAGUCGUGGUUUUGUUGCCAUAAAAUGAACUGAACCCAUCCAAUUUUCUAAGGAAUGUGGUUUAUCAGGUUUUUUCACUGGUUUCUUAAUUUAUGCUACUUGUUAAAUUUACCUCAAAAGAAAUAGAUUAAUGUCAUUAUGUAAGAUGUGCUUAUGGUAUUAUGUUAUGUCACAAUUCUGCAGGAUCAUAGCCAAAUGUUGAGAUAACUCUUGGGUAUUUCAACUUGUUCUGAUGAAUCAUUUGGAUAUUAAAAGAUUUCUACUACAAUGCCAAUAUUCGAGCGAUUGGCUCUCUCCAGGUAUGUUCACAAACUAACUGAUGACUUCAACUACCAUAACCUCCCCUGGUUAUGCUUCUCCUCCACCGACUUAACCAUCUACUCCGACAUGUAACCACUUGUGAAUCAAAAAGACCAUUCUGCCCUCCCUACUUCUUGAGUUCGUAAAACAUAUAUGUGGCUUACUAUUACCUUCCCGCCAUACAUCCACCUUGUCUCCAACUCCAUAUGUUUAUUCAACUAUGUUGGAAUAAACUUGUAUGAAUGACACGACCCAAUAGCUCUCCGUAAUUGAGAAACAUGAAACACCUAAUGGAUCUUAGUUUUUGGCUUUUUGCUGCCACCACUACUCCCUCUGUGCACAAGACUUGAAAUGGUUUAUGCUUGAAAUGGUCCAUAAACCGGGCUGCUAGCUUCACUCCUUUUUCCCUCAAGGAAUUUUGUCUAUACGGUCACAAGUUAAAGAACACCAACGAUCCACUAUAAAUUGGACAUCUUUCUGAUGCUUAUCCGCUUGUUGGUUCACUCAGUUAAAGAACACCAAUGAUCCGCCUGUUGCUUUAUUUUCCGUCGUUUAAUCAAACAUUAUACUCUUGCUCAAUGUUAUUAGCAUGUAGCAUACCACUCAAAUAUAUGAUGUCUUAUUGGUUUCAUUAGUUUUGUUAACUUAUACCGUUGCUAUUUCACAAUUGUUCGUGAGACUUGUAUGCUAGAUGCAGUAAGAGGCUUCAUUUAAAAGUCUAUUUUUUGGCUUGUUUGUCAUACAUGUUUGUUUACAAUCGCAUUUUCACAAUUGUCGUUUUCUUCUAAUGGUAGUAUCAUUUAGUUUUGUGGUGUCUUGUCGAUUUUUUUUGUUUAUUGUAAAGUAAGCUAGCACUUUGUAGGUUGUUUUUCUGUGAUUUCACUUUGUUUACCAUCCUAUAUACUCCUGCCUUGUCCAUCGAGGGGCUUUACGUGGCUAAAGGUGACCGAGUUCAUGGGUGUUGGGUUAUUCCGAGUCCAAGGUCUUGGAUUUAGCUUUUGACUUCCAUUUAUCCAUUGAUUGUGGUUUUUUUUAGAAUGGUUUUGAGAUUCAAUUAUCCAUGGAUUGUUUGGUCUUUCUGAGUUCAAGGUCAUGGRUUUACCUUUCUACUUCCAUUUAGUUUUGUUGUGUGUUUCCCAUUUUUGUUGUUUGUCGUAAAGUAAAUUAGGAGGUGAGGGGUUCAAACCUCACCAAAGGUGAGGAGGGUGU